rnacentral:rRNA from 1 species
GAACGCUAGCGGAAUGCUUUACACAUGCAAGUCGAACGGCAGCGCGAGAGAGCUUGCUCUCUUGGCGGCGAGUGGCGGACGGGUGAGUAAUAUAUCGGAACGUGCCCAGUAGCGGGGGAUAACUACUCGAAAGAGUGGCUAAUACCGCAUACGCCCUACGGGGGAAAGGGGGGGAUCGCAAGACCUCUCACUAUUGGUGCGGCCGAUAUCGGAUUAGCUAGUUGGUGGGGUAAAGGCUCACCAAGGCAACGAUCCGUAGCUGGUUUGAGAGGACGACCAGCCACACUGGGACUGAGACACGGCCCAGACUCCUACGGGAGGCAGCAGUGGGGAAUUUUGGACAAUGGGGGCAACCCUGAUCCAGCCAAGCCGCGUGCAGGAUGAAGGCCUUCGGGUUGUAAACUGCUUUUGUACGGAACGAAACGGUCUGCCCUAAUACGGUGGGCUAAUGACGGUACCGUAAGAAUAAGCACCGGCUAACUACGUGCCAGCAGCCGCGGUAAUACGUAGGGUGCGAGCGUUAAUCGGAAUUACUGGGCGUAAAGCGUGCGCAGGCGGUUAUAUAAGACAGAUGUGAAAUCCCCGGGCUCAACCUGGGACCUGCAUUUGUGACUGUAUAGCUAGAGUACGGUAGAGGGGGAUGGAAUUCCGCGUGUAGCAGUGAAAUGCGUAGAUAUGCGGAGGAACACCGAUGGCGAAGGCAAUCCCCUGGACCUGUACUGACGCUCAUGCACGAAAGCGUGGGGAGC